GCAGUCGAACGAGUUCUCGUUGAUGAUCGGUGCUUGCACCGAGAUUCAACAUGGAACGAGUGGCGGACGGGUGAGUAACACGUGGGUAACCUGCCCUUAAGUGGGGGAUAACAUUUGGAAACAGAUGCUAAUACCGCAUAGAUCCAAGAACCGCAUGGUUCUUGGCUGAAAGAUGGCGUAAGCUAUCGCUUUUGGAUGGACCCGCGGCGUAUUAGCUAGUUGGUGAGGUAAUGGCUCACCAAGGCGAUGAUACGUAGCCGAACUGAGAGGUUGAUCGGCCACAUUGGGACUGAGACACGGCCCAAACUCCUACGGGAGGCAGCAGUAGGGAAUCUUCCACAAUGGACGCAAGUCUGAUGGAGCAACGCCGCGUGAGUGAAGAAGGCUUUCGGGUCGUAAAACUCUGUUGUUGGAGAAGAAUGGUCGGCAGAGUAACUGUUGUCGGCGUGACGGUAUCCAACCAGAAAGCCACGGCUAACUACGUGCCAGCAGCCGCGGUAAUACGUAGGUGGCAAGCGUUAUCCGGAUUUAUUGGGCGUAAAGCGAGCGCAGGCGGUUUUUUAAGUCUGAUGUGAAAGCCCUCGGCUUAACCGAGGAAGCGCAUCGGAAACUGGGAAACUUGAGUGCAGAAGAGGACAGUGGAACUCCAUGUGUAGCGGUGAAAUGCGUAGAUAUAUGGAAGAACACCAGUGGCGAAGGCGGCUGUCUGGUCUGUAACUGACGCUGAGGCUCG
rnacentral:rRNA from 1 species